ensembl:lncRNA
AGAACUUUCCCAAGAAUCAUUAAAAAGGAGGCUUUUUUCUCCUGGUCCUAAGCUGCAAAGCAGCCUGAGAGCAGAGUGGCUAGUCUGUGGAGAGCUUGCCUGAGAAGAAAGCUGGGGAGAGGCUCUCAGAGAGCAGAGAGACCAUGAAAUCCUGCUGAGGAGCUGGAGAGAAGAGACACUUGCAAGGUGACCCAGCUCCUACUCAAUGCCGACGGCCUGGGCCCAGGACACCCUGUCUGUGGAGCCGAAUCCUUGCCUCUUCCUCCCUCCACACCAACCACUGGUGCAAAUCACCCCACAGGAGAGAAAAUGCAAACAAGGAGGAUCCUGGCUAAGCCGCUCUGCUACAGGCAAGACAAGUCAUUUUACGUGGAAGCAAGAAGGAUUCCUUUUAUAGCCCUCUGAAUCAGUGGGCUGUUUAUUCUCUCUCUCCAAAGGCUUCUGUCAGUUCCUGCUGGACCCAUCCAGGUUCAUCUCCAAGUGCUCCCCUCCGGCAGACAAAACCACAAGCAGCUACAAACCUCAUUGAUAAUUCACCCAGGCUUGGAGAGAUGACCACACCACAGUCAAAACAACGAGGGUCAUGGUUAACAAGACACCUUUUCAUCAUCAGAGCUACCCAGGAAAUGACAAGAGAACAACAGGCACCUGUCAAGGGCUGAGAGGUGGAGCCAGCAUCUAUCCUGAAGCUUAUUUAUCCUCUUUUUAUGACACAAAAAUUAACUUGACCUCUUGGUAGCAGUUGGAUGCCCAAUAUACCAAAGCUAGCUACUAUCUUUAGCACAAAGCUGGACCCAUAGUAAAUAC